rnacentral:lncRNA from 1 species
GCGGGAGGCGCGGCGCGGGGGGGGUCGGGUGCGCGGCGGGCGGCCCCUCCCCCUGCCAGGUCCGGGCGGGUGCCUGGAGCCGCCAGAGUUUCCGCACCCGGGAGGGAGAUGCGGCCGGGGCUCAGGCUCCUUGCAGUUGUAAUUUAGAUUCGAGAAGUGGUUUAUCCUUUGACUGGAAAAGAAAAGUAGCUGCAGUAUUCCCCCAGCACUUGCUGAGAGCAUGCCGUAUGCCAGGCUGUGAGGCUCGAGAGACAAGCAGUGGAAGAGUUGCGGCCUGUUUCAUCUCUGGAUUGUAAAUCUGAGCCUCCUUCUGGCCCCUGGAAGGGGACAGCAUCACCAUGGAAUGGUGUGUCCCGUUGCCUGUUGGAUCUGUCUCCAUCUUCACUCAGACAGAAGGCUAUAGAAAGAUGCCUGUGACUUCAGAUUCCUAACCAGCAUAAUGCUGGAGCCGGGAGCCACCAACCUGCAGUUUUCAGAAUGGCCGUGUUGGACACUGAUUUGGAUCACAUUCUUCCAUCUUCUGUUCUUCCUCCAUUCUGGGCUAAGUUAGUAGUGGGAUCGGUUGCCAUUGUGUGUUUUGCACGCAGCUAUGAUGGAGACUUUGUCUUUGAUGACUCAGAAGCUAUUGUUAACAAUAAG